rnacentral:rRNA from 1 species
UACGUAGGGUGCGAGCGUUAAUCGGAAUUACUGGGCGUAAAGCGUGCGCAGGCGGUUUUGUAAGCCAGAUGUGAAAUCCCCGGGCUUAACCUGGGAAUGGCAUUUGGGACUGCAAGGCUCGAGUGCGGCAGAGGAGACUGGAAUUCCUGGUGUAGGCAGUGAAAUGCGUAGAUAUCAGGAGGAACACCGAUGGCGAAGGCAGGUCUCUGGGCUGACACUGACGCUCAUGCACGAAAGCGUGGGGAGCAAACAGG